GAGUUUCAUUUCGAGGGAGGGGGACACACCGACCGGGGAAAGGACACCAUCCGACAGCCACCGGCAAAGGCAUCCCACUGAACGUGGCGAAGCUGCCCUAGAGAGGAGAAAUUCAGGACGGGGUUUGGUUUUCUUUUAACCCAUCCCUCAAAAUUUGUAAUCAGUGGAGUAAGCGAACAAGCAAAGAAACUGGGCUUUCCUUUCAGAUUUAAUAGGAAGCGAAUCAUGCUGCACUCAGGGAUUGAAAAUCAGCUUUAAGGGUGUUUUUAAAAAUAAGUUUCUAGCCCUCAUGGAUGUCAGUUCUAUAAUAUGGAGUAGGAUAGGUGUAAGACACUCUAUGAGAAUAAUUCCGCUGGUUAGUAAGUUAACAGUUGUGACAGGUUGUUGUCAAAUGGGUGAGAAAUAGAAAGAGUGCGAGAUUGGGAGGGGGGAGGGAGAGACGAGAUGAGGACAAAAAGUCCUGUUGGAACAAUUUGGGCUGGUGCAGAGUCGGUGAGCAAGCCGUCAAGUCCCACAGGUAAUUCCGGUCUAUAUCGAAAGGAAGGUGUGUUCGCCUGGGCGUAUAGGACCAGUUCCCACACGCACCUUUGUGUGUGCCAACAGAUUGGUUCAAUGGCUGCCAAAAUAAAAGCAGAUAAAUCAUUUUGCGUUUGCAGAAUGAUGACACCUGCUCCUCCCCUCCCAGUUGCCUCCAUGGCAAAAGUCACUAAGACCUCCUUUGGAAGGAAGGAAUUUGAGGACUACAGCCUCAAACGCUACUUACCCUAGAACAGUUUCUUGUACGUCAGCCGGUUUCAGUGGAACUGCUUCAGGGUAAGUGCGUGUCAAAAGUCUCCCAGGGCACUUGCCUGAGAACAUUCCAUAGGACUGGAAUCCUGCGUUCUCGGAGCUGCUAAGUUUAUUUAAGCUGCCCUCCGAUGAUGACCUGAUGGUUUGCUCCAGAUUGACACCGAAGCCAGUGCAGGAUUAGUGUACAGGAGAUCACAGCUGCUUAAUCAUUAAUAGCUGAGCCCUAACCAUGUUGACACAGGAGUAAGCCCCACUGAUUUCUGCGUAGUGCUUCUAGGUAAGCACCCUUUGAAUGGCAACCUUAGGUUAAUUGGCUGGCCUGUCCGAAAAACAACAACUGUGGGGAAACCUUUUAAAAAUGUGUUUGUGUUGUAAGACGCUAAACUCCACUAAUGAUUGGGACAGAAUAUUUAGGAUGUAUGUUAGAACCAAAUAAAUGUUUUGCUGCUGGUUUCUCGUGCUAAAAACUUUAUAUUUUAUUCUUGUCUGUUUAUUUUCUAUCACAAUUGCAUAGUUUAAACAAUAACAAUACCUUGAGCAAAUGCAUGAACAUUGUAUGAAAGGUAACAACCUUAUGACAUGUCUUCUCCCUUGUUUUGGUCCUGUAUUUAAAAUACAGAUAUGUAAUGCUCUUGGCUGUAGCGAAUUCACACAUGUCCCAUUUUAAAAGUGAGUAACGAGAGAAUCCAAAUUCCCAAAGAAAACUUGCUUAUUUCAAUUUCCAUAAGGGGUAGUUGUGCGAGUCUUUUGCAGCAAGAAGCUACAAAGUAGGUAUUGCAGAAACUAACAAAUUUAUUACAGUACAAGUUGUUGUGGAUUACAGUCCAUUUCGUCAGAUUUAGAAAGUAUUAUCCUGCAUUGCAGGUACGUAUAUACAUGGUUGAGUGUUGGGUUGGGGAUGCCUUGUGAACAGCGAUGUCAAAAGCAAAUGCAAUACAGAAUAAUUCAGACGAUGGUAACUGUCUUACUAGCAGUGACCAUUCACAAAAAGACCCAGUAAUUAGUAACAUAGGCGGCCAUUGGUAAGCCAAUGAACACAUACCGUGUGAUAAAAAAUCCAUUAAAAAUCUUUUAGAUGCCACAAGAUUCUUUGUUGCUCUUCUUUAUUAUAGUGCAAUGCCCUGCCAAGUGGGAAGAGAAUAUUCCUCCCCUCCCUCUGUUCUUCCAGCUUUUUGAGCAGGUGGAAAGGUGUGUCGGUGGGGGGGGGGGGACAUUCUGCUCACCCCUUGGCAGAAGGCUAAACAUGGACAGACUGGCCAAAUAGCUUUGCACGGAACGCUGUAGUAAGUUUCCAGUUGAUGAAUGGUUGUCUGAAGUCACAGGCCUUAAAUCAAGGCUUGCACAACCUGUGGCCAACCGAGCCAAACACAAUCCACUAAACUAACUCCCCUCCCCUUUGCUGCUUAUAUUGCCUGCCUGGAGCUGAGGGGGGCUGCCAAUCACCUGUCAGGUCACUAUAUAUAUUGCAUUUGCUAUGGUGACUCACAAUCUGUGCAGUGCCCACUUGAAACGCAUGCCGAGAGUUUUCUAAACUUGCAGAACCAUCCAGGGCCUGCCAGAGCUUAAAUGUGCAGCACAAUCCUAUGGCUAUGUACUCAGAAGUGAAUCUUAUGUCUCCAGUGGGGUUUCUUCCUAGAUAAGAAUGCAAAGGUUUUCAGCCUUGGAGUGGUUUCAACAACCAUCCUGUCUCCCUAGGGAAUCUGGAAUUCUUUUUUGUGGGGAGUGAAUGAUUUUUAACUGGAGAGUCUCAGCACCCUCACCAAAUUACAAUUUCCAAAGUUCUUUGAGGGAUAGGUUUGUGUAAAUAAUGUGCUUUUACCUUAGGAAGUCAGCACAGAUGAUGUAAGAAACAAACGAGUUUUUUUACCUGCUGGCUGAAAUCUCCCCAAUAGGGGUGCAAUUCUGCCUAAUUUCCCUAGGAAUAAUUUCCACUGGAAACAAUGGGACUUAAUUCUCAGUAAAAAUGCAAAAGCUUGCACUAUAGAGCAUCUUCCAGAUAAUUAUGUACAAGGCUACCCCUUGCAAUUCAAUGCAGUCUGAUGAUAAAAUCUGGGGGAAGGCAGGGCUAAUGGAACUCUGUGCAGGAACAAAGCAGUAUAGGACUACAGCUGGGACCCUAUACUCCCUUAACUGGGAGAAAUCCUCACUGAAAUCGGUGGGAAUAGCUUCUGCUUUACUUAUUUAUUUUUGGGAGGGAAUCCACAUUGAAGUACAGGUUUUAAAAUGUCUUCAUGCAAAGUAUCGAUUUCUAGACAUGCUUUCACUAAAAGUACAGAAAUGGCGUCCCGACAUUUGGAGAAGUAUGAAAUUCAGUGAGUGGUUGCCUAUUUCACGAUGUGAUAAUUUUAUGUAACAAUUUUCUUGUACGCUGCCAUUUUUAAAUAAAUAAAUAAAUUCCAACACCC